rnacentral:rRNA from 1 species
UCAAUCUCGUGUGGCUAUAAUUACCACCGGUCCCUCUAAGAAGAUUUUCAUUGUACGCCGAUAGUUGAAGACCGCGCGCGCCGCGUUAACGACACGCGCGCCACCCGGCCGCGGACCCUCGUGAUAUCGGUAGCACGUCUAUUUAAUAGGCUAGAGUUACGUUCGUUAC